CUGUGUGGACGGCGGUGGGGUCCAUGUACCUCAGGCGGUGCUGCCCUGGAAAGCUCAGGACUGGCACAGACUGUCACCACGAGCUGAGACCCAGGUAUAGACUAGUUCCCAGGUGUGGUCAAAGUCAGCAUCCACCAGACUAGAGCGCCCUGGGGUGACGGCAAGUUCCCAAAGUCAAUGCCAAGCCCAUGUGCACUUUCUGCCUCUGGAGACAGAGUCUGAGAGGUGGGAGGGGGGCCUUGCCAGACCCCUGCCUGGGUCCCUGGCUAACUGUGAGGGUUUUGCUUUGGGGAGGGGCUGAGACUGACACACCUCUGAGCUGGGAGAAGGAGGUGGGAGUGAGAAAAGGGAAAGAGGGGGUCAGAAGGAGCCACAGAACGUCCCUGAUGCAGCCCUGUCCCGGGAUGCUGGCAGCGCAGGCACUGGGCUCUUGCAGGCUCCUGCGUCCCCAGGCCUGAGCCCUCGGGGCAGCAGCUGGCAGGGGUCAUCUUUGUGCAGGGCAGGGGGCACCUUCUUGCACACAGGAAUGUGUGUCACGGAGCCGCCUGGGGCCUCACAUUGAGGACGCACAGCCUCUACUGAGGGCAGAGGCCCAGCCCAUAGGCCUGCACCCCACAGCACCUCCACGCACCCCACAGGACCCGACGCACCCCACAGCACCUCGACGCACCCCACCUCCAGCCUGCUGGUCGCAGAGGAGGAGUGGAGGGGUCAGCUGGAAGCCUUCUAGUUUCCCUGGAGCGAGGGCCUGAAGGACCCAGGUCUCCAUCUCAGUAUGUUCUCUAUUGAAUUGCAACCUUGACAUGAAUAUUAAAAUAAUUUUUAAAAUAAACCUGGCUGUUGAAAUGAGGGAGCAAAAGCGCGCUGAACCAGCAGGCAGUGAGCACAGGCUGUACAGGAAGCAUGGCAGCAUCUGAUUCUAGGGCCAUCAGCAGUUCAGAGAGGUGACAUUACUUUCAGACUGGCCCAAAGCUGGUAAGUAGCAGAGACUGGCUGAGGGAAGAAGAGCCAGAUGUCUACCCUUGAUGCCAAGUCCUGCCCACACUGGCCUCACAUCCAACUCCCUGGGUCCUCAGGGAAUUCAGCCCCCAGAGGCCCCGCCCACCUGAUGCAGCCGAAGCAAGGGGCAGC